CAUAGCCACAGCCACAGCCAUUCAUCUCCUUGCCGCUAGUGCCAAUGCCACAAUGUGCUUCGACAAUCUCUUUUUCCGUUAUCUCUUUCGUCAACUCAUCUCCUCAGGCCGCGACGUGAUUUCUCAGGCAAGAAAAUUUGAUAUCGAGAAAACAAAGCUAAUGUGUGUUAACAUGCUCAAGUUGAGGAAGGAAUUUGGUUCAGACAUUAUUGUAGAGGUGCAGCUGAUGCUGUUGCUGCAGGGGCUGAAGCUAUUGUGGCUUCGCCCAAAACGAGUGAUAGUCCCAGUUUGAGCAAGUUGUUUAGCGGUAAUUUGUUGGAGAAAUUUACUUUGGACAACUCCACAUACUCGCAGGCGCAAAUCAGAGCUACUUUCUACCUAAAAUUCGAGAAUGAGAAGUUAGAUCAAGAGAUAAGGAUAAGAAUGAUUAAGAUGGUAGCUAAAGGUUUGGCUACGUUAGAGGUAUGUUUGUUGUGCUUUAAAUUUUUGUGUUGGUUGAAAAAUUGUUGAAUGGUGUGAUUUUUAUGAUUUUAUUGAUUUUCAUUGGUGGAGUUAAUCUUGUUGUCCUGCAUGUGCAGGUUUUUCUCAAACACUCUGGUUCUCUUUUUAUGUAUGCGGGUCAUGAAGGUGGAGCUUAUGCAAAAAAUAGUUUUGGAAAAUAUGUAUCUUUGUGACAUAUUAUGUAUAUUUUGAAAUUUUUUUGUUUCCUUAUUUACCUUAUGUUCGUUGUUUUUUUCUUGAAUAGUAGUCAUGCAGCAACGUGGAUAAUGGUCAUGCCUUAGGGCAUGAUAGUUUUCAUUCAUAAAUAAAUAAAUUUACUAGGAGUACAUUCCAUUGGCCUCCACUUCUCCCUCUACUCAUAUCCCUUUGUUAUGCUUUCUUUAUGCGGUUAAUAUUUUUAUUUAUGGUUUAUUGCUCUUUUCCAUUGUUGCAGAUAUACUGUUGUUGGUGUAUUUAUACUUAGGCGGAUGUUUCGCGAGGCUUGGGGAGCUGCGGCUUCUAAAAAACAAACUGAAUUUAAUGAUUUUCUUGAGGACUUUGAUUUCAAGGAAAUCAAUGAAGUGAUAAUCCUUCCUUGAGCCUUAGACUACAACAAAAUUCAUUUACGUCAUGAGAGGAUUGAUGAAAGAAUGAAGGCUUGCAGGAAUUAGUUUUCAGCAUCAAUAAGGAUGAGCCCCCAAGUGAAAGGAAGAUUGCCAAAUUGUGUUAAUAUGCUGCAAAAGAAUCCUUUUCGGAUUCCAAAGUUUGUGAUCCAGUGAUGGGUGACGAAGGAAAAUUUUAUGUUCCUCAAGAGCUAAUAUCAGUUUAUUGUGAAAAGGCACGACAAGCCUAUCUUAUUGGCAAUAAAGCCCUAGCAAAGGAACUUAAUGCUAAAGGGCAAGUGCACAACAUGCAUAUAAAAGCAGCUCAUGGAAAAGCUCAGGAAUCUAUUUAUCGCCAGAGGAUUCAAUCUGAAGAUGAUGGCCGAAAAGCUUGUAAUUUUCUUCAUGAGGCUGGACCAUCAAAGGUUUAUCUUUAUAUUUGUCCAUGAAAAAGCUCCUAUUUAGACAAGUGUUACAACUAUGCAUAUUUUAUUAUUUACGGUAUAGUUCAGUUUUUGAUAAGUUUGAUUGUUAUGUAUGUAUGAAUGUUAAAGCUUUUGUGAAGCCAAAUUUGGAUUGAGUUCAGCUUCUAUUAAGUAUUAAUCAAUGUUUUGCCUUUCUUAUGUGAUUAUCGAAGUAUCUCUCUAUUCUUUUAUAUAGUUAAUUAGAACAAUACCAUAUGGAAUUAUGA